AUUGAACGCUGGCGGCAUGCCUUACACAUGCAAGUCGAACGGCAGCGGGCCUUCGGGUGCCGGCGAGUGGCGAACGGGUGAGUAAUGCAUCGGAACGUGCCAUUGAGUGGGGGGAUAACGUAGCGAAAGUUGCGCUAAUACCGCAUAUUCUGUGAGCAGGAAAGCAGGGGACCGCAAGGCCUUGCGCUCUUUGAGCGGCCGAUGUCAGAUUAGCUAGUUGGUGAGGUAACGGCUUACCAAGGCGACGAUCUGUAGCGGGUCUGAGAGGAUGAUCCGCCACACUGGAACUGAGACACGGUCCAGACUCCUACGGGAGGCAGCAGUGGGGAAUUUUGGACAAUGGGGGCAACCCUGAUCCAGCCAUGCCGCGUGAGUGAAGAAGGCCUCGG
rnacentral:rRNA from 1 species